rnacentral:lncRNA from 1 species
AAUUGUGCAUCAUUACAUACUUAUAAAAUCGUCUCUGCCCUCACCUGCUUCCUCGUCUGCUCUGGCUGUUCAAUAGAUGUGGGGACCGCAGAAACUGGUCUCCAAAGAUGAGAUCCGGUCAGAACCACACGUUGACUCAGCACAGCAGCUAACGUGGCAGAGAGUUCAGCGCCGCGGCAGAGCAGAAGGAUCACAUGAUGCCGAGAACAAUGACCGACCGCCAAUUACCAUCAGGGCAGUUUUCACCCCCCGACUGUCUUGCACUGAAGUUUCAACUCCAAGAAACCAUGUCACAGGAAGGAAAAAAAAUAAAAAGGAACAAGGGAACGGACAUAAAAGAAAACUGUGUUCUUUAAAACCAUGAUGACAAAAAUAAAGAAAAGGCCAACUUGUGUGUACAUAGACCUCUUCAUGUGUUGCUUAACCUCAGCUCUAUUGCAAUCUUAUACAGUAUUUGCCAAUGUACAGUUUAAAAUGUUUGUUUGAAAACAUUAAGGGAAAAAAAAUGACUUUGUCAGUCAAACGUGAUGGAUCUUAAGCGAGAAAAGGAGAAACAGGGUGUCACUGAGAGCGAAGCGAAACUGCAGGAACUGACAAUCGUUCCCAGAAGGACUCUUUUCAUCAGUGGCACUCCCACUGCGCCAAAAGUCACUCCGUAUCCAGACGUGGUCACUCAUUAUGGGAAGUUGGAUUCACCAGGAUAGACGGAAAAAAAGAAAUCAACGGACCUGCACUGCCUGCGCCGGAGUUCAUAGAAGAGGCAUAAAAAAAAAAAAAAAAAACGCAGAGGAGGAAAAACAGGACAGAGGGAAGGGAUGCUGAUAUAUGCAAACGCAGUGACACAGAUUUGAAAAGGCUAGUUCCUCUGGUUGGCUCGUGAACAGAGGCGUGAAGCUCCCAUGUGGCUCUCAGAGCGUGGGGAAAUCUCAAGCCCACUGAUUCAACCUGUACAUUUCUGUUAUUAAUGUUUACCAUGUGGAGCCCGGAGAUUACUGGAAUUUGUGUUUUUUUUAAUGCUUUAUGUCACUAUGUAUUUUAAAUUUGCAACAUUUGAAUUUCAGGGUCGCGAAGAACACAAUUUGCGUCUCUCUUGUGAGAUAAACUUAUAAAAAAGCCCGAUCUUUGGCUCUCCUGGAGAGUGCCCACACUCAUAUCCUGUGUUUUUUAUUUUUUUUUUUUAUUUGCAGCAUCUUAUUGUCCUUUACGAAAGCUGGAAGACCCUCAUAACAAAACUUUAAUCCAUUUUGUUAUGUAAAUACUUGGAAUUCAUUGAACCUGAGAUGCACUUUUGUAUGAAACUUUAAUGUUUUGACAUUUUGAUUGACAAUUGUUCUUACCCAGUUUACAGGAAAUCACCACCUCCUGCUGCAAAAAGACGGUUGUCUCCGAUGUUAUUAAAAUGUAUUGUACAAAUAUGGAGUUCUGUAUUUGGCAGACCUCGUUUUUUUUUUUUUUUGUUUUUUUUUUUGUGUUGCACAUGUGAUGGAAAUAUUAAAAACUGUAUAAGGAAAACGGUGUCGACGUCUCUCCGUCUAAAGGGAUUCUAAAAAGCUCAAUUAACCCAUCAGAGAAGAGCCGUGACAGCACAAAGACAAUCAUCAUCACAAGCUUACUCGGCUUUUUUCAUUGGAUCAAAUUGCAUUCUAUUUUUCUUAACUCCCUCCUGACUCGCUAACGACAUCUAAGCAUCUUGAGGGAGGUCUGUGUUAUUAAUGACUCCAUUACCCAUCACCCUGUGCGGUCCCAUUCCACACACCCCUGCGCGAGGUUCUAUUUAGGGAGCCUCCAACACUCCGGGGGACUGUGGAAAAGAGUCCUCCGCCUUUGCCGAAUGGGACAUUAGCAUCUGUCUGUCUCUGCAGAUGAUUCAUCAGAGGUGACACACGACCAGGAGAAGAGUUGUGGAGAUUUUAGAUUUGGUUUAAAAACACCGACCUUUGUGCAAAUGUAUCACUGUAAGCAACAAAGCUACAGAUUCCUUAAAGCACGUUUCAAGUCCAGAUCAGUUUAUUUUAUUGUUAUUAAUGGCCCAAUGUUAUGUUGCACUUAUUUUUAACUUGUAUAAUUUUAGCAAAAUUUAUUUUCAUGGAGAGUAAAAUAUUAAAAGUUAUUCAAGGUUUAAGUUUAUUUAUUCUGGAAUAAUAUUCCUGCCUUUUAUUAUUCUUAAUAUGUAGGAAAGUUUUGGUUUUAAUCUUUUGAAAGAUUGGCAUUCUGCUAGUUUUUUGGACUGUUUUGCCAUUCACUAAGAUUUUUUGGUGGUUUUGA